UACGUAGGGUCCGAGCGUUGUCCGGAAUUACUGGGCGUAAAGAGCUCGUAGGUGGUUUGUCGCGUUGUUCGUGAAAACUCACAGCUCAACUGUGGGCGUGCGGGCGAUACGGGCAGACUAGAGUACUGCAGGGGAGACUGGAAUUCCUGGUGUAGCGGUGUAAUGCGCAGAUAUCAGGAGGAACACCAACAGCGAAGGCAGAUCUCUGGGACGUAACUGACGCUGAGACGCGAAAGCGUGGGGAGCAAACAGG
rnacentral:rRNA from 1 species